CUCUGCAUCCUAGAUCAGAUUCGGAGACUCUCUCAGUCUCCAUCCUAGAUCACUCUCUCACUCUCUCAGUCUCCAUCCUAUCUCAUAUUUGAAGACGACUCUGAGACUCUCAGGCUCUCAGCCCAGACGAGCGAGACGAACCCAGAAACAUCUCGUCUUCGAUUUGUGUUGGCCAUCUGCGAUUUGGUUGAUGCAGCUCCGCCUGGGACUUGGUUGAUGUAGAUCCGUCUGCGAUUUGGUCAACUCUUGCAGUGAGUGCAGUCCAGCGACCAUAGCCUGUGAUUUCGAGUGAAAUUGUUAAGCUCCAGAGUCCAUAGCAUGUGAUGCUCAUGAGCACUUCGAGUGAAAUUGGGAGGAGAUUGAAAAACAAAAGGCUCAUGAGCGAUACAUGUGGUUGCACUGUUGCAGGAGCAGGGAAAAACUGAACAAGCAAAGAAAGAUUUAGAUCUAAGCAUAUGUUUAUUCAAGAAUAAUCAUGAUCAAUGAUGAUGAUGCAAGACUCAAUGAAAAGGAAGAGAGUGAAAAAAUUGGGCCAUAUAAAAGCUUCAAACUUUUGAAUAGUUCAAGCUUCAUCAUCCACCUCUCAUUAUUUAAUAUUGAUGGAAGACUUGUUGCAUUGAGGAAGCCAUGCUGGAAAUUUGUUUGAAGUUGUGCACUUUGAUGAAAUGUUGA